AUUGAACGCUGGCGGCAGGCCUAACACAUGCAAGUCGAGCGCGAGGCGGACGGGGGAGUACUGUAUGGGGACUGCCCGCUAGAGGGGGAUAACUCCUGGGAAAGGUAGCUAAUACCGCAUACUAUCGGAUAACCCAUAUGGGAUUAGCUAGUAGGGGAGGUAAUGGCUCACCUAGGCGACGAUCCCUAGCUGGUCUGAGAGGAGGAUCAGCCACACUGGGACUGAGACACGGCCCAGACUCCUACGGAGGCAGCAGUGGGGAAUAUUGCACAAUGGGCGCAAGCCUGAUGCAGCCAUGCCGCGUGUAUGAAGAAGGCCCUAGGGUUGUAAAGUACUUUCAGUCGGGAGGCGUUACCGACAGAAGAAGCACCGGCUAACUCCGUGCCAGCAGCCGCGGUAAUUC
rnacentral:rRNA from 1 species